AUGGCUACGGCCAUCUCCGCCUCCGCGCUCCUCUCCUCCGCAUUCGCCGGCGAUAGGCGCCACCGCCGCGCGGCGAGGCCCGCGCCCCGCCGCGCCGUCCCGGCUGGCCUCACGGUGCGGUGCGAGCAGAGCGACAAGCAGAAGCGGCAGUCACUUUCCGCAGUCGUUCCCCGCGAGCAGCGGUUCAUGUUCGAGGGCGACGAGCUCUGCGGACCCGACAUAUGGAACACAACAUGGUACCCUAAGGCUGCAGAUCACGUAACUACCGAGAAGACGUGGUAUGUUGUUGAUGCAGAGGACAAGAUUCUUGGCAGGCUAGCAUCUGCUAUCGCAGUGCAUAUGAGAGGGAAAAAUGAGCCCACAUACACUCCAAGUGUGGACAUGGGGGCUUUUGUUAUUGUGGUUAAUGCAGAGAAGGUUGCUGUUUCUGGUAAAAAGCGGUCACAGAAGCUCUAUAAAAGGCACUCUGGACGGCCCGGUGGAAUGAAAGAAGAAACUUUUGAUCAGCUUCAGAAAAGGAUUCCGGAGAGAAUUAUCGAACAUGCUGUGCGUGGCAUGCUUCCUAAGGGCAGGCUGGGAAGAAGACUAUUUACCCACCUCAAGGUGUACAAAGGAUCAGAGCACCCGCAUGUGGCUCAAAAACCUGUUCCACUGCCCAUCAGAGACAAAAGAAUAAUGAAGUCUGGCUAG
rnacentral:rRNA from 1 species